CUGCUGCCUUCCGUAGGAGUUUGGACCGUGUCUCAGUUCCAAUGUGGGGGACCUUCCUCUCAGAACCCCUACUGGUCGUCGCCCCGGUGGGCCGUUACCCCGCCGGCAAGCUAAUCAGACGCAUCCCCAUCCUUUACCGGCCGAAGCCUUUGGUCAUGAAAAUAUGCAUCAACAUGACAACAUACGGUAUUAAUCCGCCUUUCGACGGGCUGUCCCAUAGUAAAGGGCAGGUUGGAUACGCGUUACUCACCCGUGCGCCGGUCGCCAUCAAA
rnacentral:rRNA from 1 species